CCAGGUUGCUCAGAGCCCCGUCCAACCUGGCCUUGAACACUUCCAGGGAUGGGGCAUCCGCAGCUUCUCUGGGCCACCUAUGCCAGUGCUUCACCAACCUUACAGGGAAGAAUGUC